GGCACCAUGGCCUAAUGGUAAGGCGUUGCUUUCCGGUGGCAAAGAUUGAGGGUGAGUUUUCGCCCUUCUCCGUGUCCAGUUGCAAUUCAAAAACUAAUGCCGGCCCGCCCCCAGGUUCGAGUCCCUCUGGUGUCG